AACGGAUAUCUCGGCUCUCGCAUCGAUGAAGAACGUAGCGAAAUGCGAUACUCGGUGUGAAUUGCAGAAUCCCGUGAACCAUCGAGACUUUGAACGCAAGUUGCGCCCAAAGCCAUUAGGCCGAGGGCACGUCUGCCUGGGCGUCACACA
rnacentral:rRNA from 1 species